GUAGUGAGCUAGCUAACCCAGUAAACACAGCUGCAUUCACACGUCAUAUGUUGCUAGCUACAAAUUAUCAAACGCAUCCUUCGGGGUCUGGAAAUAUGUUUAAGCUUCUCUUCUUUGCGAACGGAUAUUUGAUAAAUGACUGACUGCCAAUAUUCUUGGACAGCGUUAUGGAGGAGAGAUGUCUGUUUGCCGCCCGGCCUGCAGCAGCUCCAGGUGAGGCCAUUCCUCAGAUCACCCGCCGACUGGACCCCGACUUGUCACCGCAGGAAAAACACAGGUCUAUUGUAUGAGACAGACAGAGUGAACUAGAGGUGUUUCUGGGUGGAUGAGUUGAGUCUCACAGUGGGAGAUGAGAAGGAGGCUUUGGAUGCUACUUCAGGAGGAACUGCAGAGUGAGAGACAGGGAGGGAGCAACUGUGGAUGCCUGCUCCCGGCUCCCAUCAUACAAACACACACUCGUACACACUCAGAUCUCGCACAGCUCAGCAUGCCUCGAGAUGCUUUGAGUCAUGCCACCAUAUAUGUGUGUGUGCUUGUGUGCACGGUUCUCACUGUAUGGAUAAAAUACUCAGUAAAAGUGUAGACACAUGUAUGAUAUAUCUGUGUGUAUGGCUAUGAGUGAGUCUGAGCAAUGAUUGCACUGUGGUUAACAACCAAAAGCAAGCAUUGGCUUGAUGAAAGGCUGUUGUCAUCUGUUCUGUAGAAAUGUAACCAUCAGAGCUCCCUGUGGAUCCAGCGACAGGCUUUUCUUUUGUAUAACACUGAAUAAAAGGGUACAGUGCAUUAAUCUAACCCUGCUUGGGGAAACAAAGGAAGGCCCACUGAUACAGUAUAACAAUAGCAUAAGAAAGGAAACAUGGAGUGUCUCUGAGUGCUACUGCCAUAUCUUAUAAUGUUAUUAACACUGCUCAACACUGCUGUCAAUGCAGGAAACGUAUGUGAAUUAUCUAAUAGUAACAAUAUAUGACACCUUUCUUUCCUUCUUUCUUGGAACAAGGACAACACAAUCACAUGGUUACAUUUGCACAAAGGAUUAUUUGAUAACUCACUGUAUAAAACAGACGAGAAAGCACCAGCUGUUUGAUCGUUUGAGAUUUUAAGAUAAGAGUAAAUAUGCUUAUAUAAGUUUGCUUUCUUCCUUAGAGUUAGCUGAGAGGAUCAAUACUCUCAAGUCUGUGCUAAAUAUAAAACUAGAGCCCUACGAUGGUUAGCUUAGCUUAGCAUAAACCUACCAACACCAAUUGAAACACCAUUAAUUAACACUCAGAGUCUUCUCCACCUGACUAAGAAAUCAUCUUGCUCACAAACCCUGUAAAACCAAUAACUUGAUUUUGGGGUUUUAUAUGAAAUAAACAGGUGAGAUGUAAUGUUUUUUUAGUGAGCUGGUAGGCAGAUUUUUUUUUAUUCAACUUAAAUCAAUCCUCUCAUGUAACUCUUGGAAAGAUGUUUUUAUCAGAUUCUUGACAAGAAAGUGAAAGAGCUAUUCCUUAAGGUUACAUUUUUCACUCAUACAUUGGAAUAGUUUGCUAUUGUGUGAGAGGUGGUGUGGAUGCUGUUAGAUUUUUAAACUGGAUUGCACUAUAGCCCACCAAGUCCUAAACCUCUAAAGGAUCAAAAAGUACGACUAUCCAGUAUUGUAAACACUGGUAGUCAGGACAUGUAUUUGCACAUUUUUGACAUGUCUGUGAUUUAUGUGCAAACAUGAACAUUUUCACAUAUGAUGAGGUAAAGCUGAUCCUUGUGUCUGCUAAAGCUGACUGAGAGACUGAGCCACUGUGCUUUCUGGCAAUCACAUCACUAACACACCAUGGUCUCCUCAUUUCCCUGCCCUGAGGGAUAGCCUCACGAAACCAACACAGACUUCAUUUUCACCCCUCACAGGGUUUCUGUAGCCGUUCAUAUCCUCUGUCAACAAAUUACAUGUGUGUGAUAGAAGCAUGUGCAUACCACAGCUCUACUUCUUCCAAAGCAGUGGGAGGUUGAGGGGAUGCUUCUAUUAUGGACAUUUGGUGGUAGGUGUGUGGGUUGUGGGGUUGGGAGUAUGGAGUGUAUUAAGAGCCAUGUAAAUAAAUGUCAAUUGGAAAGUCAGUGAAACAGUUGGAGAGAAUGCAGCAGCCCCUGCAGAUCUGUGGGCUGUGUUAAUAUUGUCAGCACUGUGGCUGAUUGAGGAGAAGAAGAGAUGGAACCCAGCUUGUGGGCAGCCACCCGGAUCAUAUUAGUGGAGGAGUGUAACCAGAAUCAAUUUCAACAUGCUUUUACUCUCUAUAACCACAGCUGCCUGACUGCUUCCAUGCUCACAAAUAAUAUGUGCCAUGGCAAGCAUGUGGUCAAUCACUAUCUAUGAACCAAUCAGAAUACUUAAUAGAAUCAUGUCAUAUAGUUAAUUGUACUGAUUAAGCUCUGUGUGUUAAUCAAGUAAUGGUUUUACUUAUUUUAUAUUUUUAAAAAUAUUUCACAUUCUAGAUCUAGUUACUGUUUCUGUGGGUGUCUAUUCCUUCAAACAAUGCAAACAAUGAUGGUCCUCGUACAAAGAUAGUGGGACUGUCAUAGCACCUUUGAGAUGUGUACAGUUUAUGGCUUUUCAGAGUAAUGAAUAGGUCAUUAUAUCAGUGGUUAUGAGCUCAGUUGGUGAGGUGCGUAAUGGAUGGUGAAUGGUACUACAGAGAAAAAACUCUUUAUGUGUAGAUGUAGUGUGUUUUAGCUUGUUUGUCUAUUUGCAUAUGUAUGUUUGAGAGGCCUUCUUUACACAAUGUACAACUCUAAAAAACUGAAGUGCUACUUGAACUUCUGCUACAUAAAAAUACUUUUUAUGCCUCUGUGACAGCCAUGGCUGGAGGCAUUAUACUUUCACCUGGACUCAUGGAUGAACAGAUUAGAAUUCAUUUGUAGAAUUUGUAGAUUAGUCAAAGCUCAAAGGUUAAGGUCACUGAGACCUUAAUAAUAUUAACUGUUACUGGACUGGUUGGCAGAGGCAUACAACUUUGAAGUGAUAUUCUAUUCUGUUUGUGGCAAUUUCAUCAUUACUCAUCAUACAGCUGCUCCUCUGGUGAAUCCAUUGGGCACGUAAUAUUCAGUAUUCUGCUAGGUGCAACGUCUUGUUUUAUGUGUGUUUGUGUGUCGUGGCUGAUGUGCCUGUGUGCAGGUGUGCAUGAGUAUUCUUGUCAGCACAGGCUAUUGUUCAGUUUCCUUCUUCUGCAGAGAUGUAACCAUACUUUGGUUGACAGCAUGUGGGAAUGCACAUUGUGAUAAAGCAAUUUCCUGUAUGCAAAUGCCCUGUUUACACGUUCAUGCUCCAGUCACUGUCACUUGACGGAUUGCUUGCGUAUGAGCAAAGCAGCUAUACGAUGAAAAAUGAGAAUAGUAAGACCUCAAUAAAGAAUCUAUUGUGACUAUUCUUAGCACUAGACAUGCUUGAAACUGAUGUCACAGGGAAGAAUUUCACACAACCACACACACACACAUACAAAUUACAGAAAGAUCAAGACCAGUAUUCACAACAGCUCUAUAGCAGCAGAUAGAGGAGGUGGUGGAGAAGCUCAUCCUUGAUAUAAUGAGGAAAAAUGAUAGAAAGUGGAGGGAUGAGGUAAUGGAUGUCAUGGGAACAAGGAGAUGUGUAAGUGAGAAUGAGUGAAGAUGAGAAGGAGAGAGAAUAGGCAGGGUCGACGUGACAGAGGGUUAUUGAAAGCAAGAGGAUGUUGCAGGAGACAGAAUGGGCUGAGGCCUCUGUGUGAUGCUUUCAGUGUUGCCGCAAGAUCUACCUGACUGUCUGUCUCUAGCAGGGAGGAUGAUGAGAUGUUCUGAAAGUGCUCACGCACACCUGCAGAGCUAAUUCACAGUCUCUGAUUCACUACUACCAUUCUGCGCAGGCUAAAUGCAAGUCUUUUCACACCACGAGGUUAUGCAUUCCCUACAUGGUGCAAUCAUACCAAUCAGCAUUUCUUUCUUUAAAGCACAUCUAUCAACUACUGUUAAACUCAUCUACGUGGUGCAGCCUGGCUGGAUAAAACAUUCGAAUUCACUUCCUUGCCUGAGUGUCUAGUCUACAAUCACAGCACCAGUAAUUAUGUUAUCUUUGAAUUCUUCCUUGUGGAACAGCAUAAAAAAGCAGUUUUUUUCAUAGCGAGUAUGGUAAAAGCUUUGAACAUGGAUGUGAGGUGAAAGACUGAAGAUGGCUUAGGUGAGAGUUUUGGAAAAAAAAAAGUGUUUGUCUCACUUGACCCUGAGUGGGAAUGUCAGGCUUAUUUAGCCACUUGGUCUAUAAUAGAAUUAAUAUUGUCUCUAGCCCACACAUACACACAGAGCGGUGAUAAAGGUGGCCCUGACUUCCAGAGGUCAAAGGGCAUGUGACAGGCGAGACACCUUGAUGAGGAAAAGCACUUGGGCUGGCAUCAGAAAGUGUGCUGUGGUAGCCUUCUGGAACGACCCAUAUUUAAUCAAAGAAUGACCUCUGGCAUCCUCAUUAGCAGCUCAUUGUAUGUUGGUAAACAAUAGUUUUUAGAGAGUUAUUUUCUAAUAAUGUAACUCUCAAAACUUUCCUGAUUUUUCCUUUGUGACACACGCACAGAGCCUGUUGUUCUGUUUCCUCCCUUUUCCCAGUCAUGGAGAGAUGUAGGGCAUUUAUCCACUGACAGCACUUGUAAAUGGCGAGAGUGAUAACUGGAGAACAACAGCUCCAGAUUCUCAUCUCAGAGCACUAAUAUGAUGAGACGGGUGCUGGGUGCAUGGGGGCAGGCAAUAUAAUUAAGGUCUCUCCCCAGAAUGUAAUCUUUCAGGGAAGAGCCUGGGCGGGGAGCGGGACAGAUGACAGGAGCGCAGGGAGAACAAAACACUCUCCAUCUAGGGAGCAGCGAGAUGAAGGCCUGCGAGCCGGUAUUCCGUUGGGGAGGCAGGGAGGGAAAAGUGAGGUAAAUGGGAGGUAAUGCUAGGAUGGUGAAGCCAGCCAGCCUCUUUCAGCUCCCCGGCUAUUCAGCUCAAUCCUCCGUGGAGGCCCCAUCAGAGCUGGUGACUGCUCCUGGCCCCCGAAAAGAGAUGAUGGCACGAAAGGGGGGAGGGAACUGAGAGAGAGAACGAAAAGAGUGGGAGCUGAAGAUAAUGGAUGUUUGUUUAUUUCACAUACAGAACUGAGGAGCAGUAACCAAGGAUGAUCAGUGGUUGCUAUGCAUCCCUGAAUUUUUUUAGUUUUUACAGAAGACAUUCACUGCUGAGGACCAUUAUUACAGUCAAUCAAAUCUGACAUUAAAGUCUCAUCAGAAUAUCAACAAUUAUGUAAAAUAUCAGCUCGCUGGUUCACUAACAAGAAGUCUUAACUAUUCCAAUCCUAUUAAGGCAAUCCACAGAGAACCUGACACUUGUUUUACCAACCGUCAGAGUACAUUCUUGCUGUUAAUCUCCCAAAUAGUUGUGCAGGUGCAUUGAAUUUGUUUCCAUUUGAAGGUUUCACCCAAGCCUGACAGGUCUUGAUACCACUGCUUCAAGGAACAAGAUAUCUCUUGCUGCAGAUGUUUCCCAGGAUACACAAGGUAGAAAAGCUGCCUAGCUCUAUAUAGAUG